rnacentral:rRNA from 1 species
GACAGAGGGUGCAAACGUUGUUCGGAAUUACUGGGCGUAAAGCGUGCGCAGGCGGCUCCUUAAGUCAGAUGUGAAAGCCCCGGGCUUAACCUGGGAACUGCGUUUGAAACUGGGGAGCUGGAGUGUAGAAGAGGGGGGUGGAAUUCCAGGUGUAGCAGUGAAAUGCGUAGAUAUCUGGAGGAACACCGAUGGCGAAGGCAGCCCCCUGGGCUAACACUGACGCUCAUGCACGAAAGCGUGGGGAGCAAACAGG